rnacentral:rRNA from 1 species
GAUGAACGCUGGCGGCGUGCUUAACACAUGCAAGUCGAACGAUGAUCCCAGCUUGCUGGGGGAUUAGUGGCGAACGGGUGAGUAACACGUGAGUAACCUGCCCUUGACUCUGGGAUAAGCCUGGGAAACUGGGUCUAAUACCGGAUACGACCAUCUGGCGCAUGUCAUGGUGGUGGAAAGCUUUUGUGGUUUUGGAUGGACUCGCGGCCUAUCAGCUUGUUGGUGGGGAAUGGCCUACCAAGGCGACGACGGGUAGCCGGCCUGAGAGGGUGACCGGCCACGCUGGGACUGAGACACGGCCCAGACUCCUACGGGAGGCAGCAGUGGGGAAUAUUGCACAAUGGGCGCAAGCCUGAUGCAGCGACGCCGCGUGAGGG